UGCGUAGGCGGAAUAUUAAGUCAGUGGUGAAAUCCUGCGGCUCAACCGUAGAACUGCCAUUGAUACUGAUAUUCUUGAAUGUAGUUGAGGUAGGCGGAAUGUGUAUGUAGCGGUGAAAUGCUUAGAUAUUACACAGAACACCGAUUGCGAAGGCAGCUUACUAAACUAUGAUUGACGCUGAGGCACGAAAGCGUGGGGAGCGAACAGGAUUAGAUACCCUGGUAGUCC
rnacentral:rRNA from 1 species